UACGUAGGGGGCGAGCGUUGUCCGGAUUUAUUGGGCGUAAAGAGCUCGUAGGCGGUUCGAUAAGUCGGACGUGAAAUCUCCACGCUCGACGUGGAGGGGCCGUUCGAUACUGUCGUGACUCGAGUCCGGUAGGGGAGUGUGGAAUUCCCGGUGUAGCGGUGAAAUGCGCAGAGAUCGGGAGGAACACCCGUAGCGAAGGCGGCACUCUGGGCCGGUACUGACGCUGAGGAGCGAAAGCGUGGGGAGCAAACAGG
rnacentral:rRNA from 1 species